GGGCUUGUACUGGUUUCGACGGGGGCUUUGCACGUGGGGCAGCCAUCCGUGGUCCGGGACCACGUUAAAACUCGGAAUUAAAUAUAAACGCUGAAGAUAAUAAUUUAGCAUACGCUGCCUAAGUUGCAGCUGUCGGCCUCAGCAUACCCACAGGCUGAGAGU
rnacentral:tmRNA from 1 species